UACAGAGGUCUCAACCGUUGUUCGGAUUCAUUGGGCGUAAAGGGUGCGUAGGCGGUCGUGCAAGUCGGAUGUGAAAUCUCAGGGCUCAACCCUGAAACUGCAUUCGAUACUGCGUGGCUAGAGUGCUGGAGAGGAGACUGGAAUUUACGGUGUAGCAGUGAAAUGCGUAGAUAUCUGGAGGAACACCGGUGGCGAAGGCGGCUCACUGGUCCGGUUCUGACGCUGAGGCGCGAAAGCGUGGGGAGCAAACAGG
rnacentral:rRNA from 1 species